AGUGAACGCUGGCGGUAGGCCUAACACAUGCAAGUCGAACGGCAGCACAGUAAGAGCUUGCUCUUACGGGUGGCGAGUGGCGGACGGGUGAGGAAUACAUCGGAAUCUACUUUUUCGUGGGGGAUAACGUAGGGAAACUUACGCUAAUACCGCAUACGACCUACGGGUGAAAGCAGGGGAUCUUCGGACCUUGCGCGAUUGAAUGAGCCGAUGUCGGAUUAGCUAGUUGGCGGGGUAAAGGCCCACCAAGGCGACGAUCCGUAGCUGGUCUGAGAGGAUGAUCAGCCGCACUGGAACUGAGCCACGGUCCAGACUCCUACGGGAGGGAGCAGUGGGGAAUAUUAGACAAAGGGCGCAAGCCUGAUCCAGCCAUACCGCGUGGGUGAAGAAGGCCUUCGGGUUGUAAAGCCCUUUUGUUGGGAAAGAAAAGCAGCAGGUUAAUACCCCGCUGUUCUGACGGUACCCAAAGAAUAAGCACCGGCUAACUUCGUG
rnacentral:rRNA from 1 species